UGAAGCCUGCAGACCCCUUAGGCGCAGGUGUAACUGCUGUGUGAGUACAAACCAAAACCAAGACAGGAGAAAAAAAAAAAAAAAAACACACCCCUCCAUUUAUUGUGGCAAGGCUUUGGAUCCAUUCUAUGACAAUUCUGAUAAAAAUAACUUGUCCCAGAAUUUCCCGUGUGCCAAGGAUCAUCAAAAGCAACAUCCACUGGUAUGAAGCAGACAUCGGAGACUAAUUCAGACAGUAGUUUCCCUGGAAUGAAUGAUGGUGCACCACAUUUA
rnacentral:lncRNA from 1 species